rnacentral:rRNA from 1 species
GACGAACGCUGGCGGCGUGCUUAACACAUGCAAGUCGAGCGGUAAGGCCCUUUCGGGGGUACACGAGCGGCGAACGGGUGAGUAACACGUGGGUGACCUGCCCUCAGCUCUGGGAUAAGCCUGGGAAACCGGGUCUAAUACUGGAUAUGACUCCAUGACGCAUGUUGUGGGGUGGAAAGCCUUGUGCGGCUGAGGAUGGGCCCGCGGCCUAUCAGCUUGUUGGUGGGGUGAGGCCUACCAAGGCGACGACGGGUAGCCGGCCUGAGAGGGCGACCGGCCACACUGGGACUGAGACACGGCCCAGACUCCUACGGGAGGCAGCAGUGGGGAAUCUUGCGCAAUGGGCGAAAGCCUGACGCAGCGACGCCGCGUGAGUGAUGAAGGCCUUAGGGUGUAAAGCUCUUUUACCCGGGAAGAUAUGACGGUACCGGGAGAAUAAGCCCCGGCUAACUUCGUGCCAGCCGCCGCCGUAAG